UAGGGAAUAUUGCUCAAUGGGCGAAAGCCUGAAGCAGCAACGCCGCGUGGAGGAUGACACUUUUCGGAGCGUAAACUCCUUUUCUUAGGGAAGAAAUUUGACGGUACCUAAGGAAUAAGCACCGGCUAACUCCGUGCCAGCAGCCGCGGUAAUACGGAGGGUGCAAGCGUUACUCGGAAUCACUGGGCGUAAAGGACGCGUAGGCGGAUUAUCAAGUCUUUUGUGAAAUCUAAUGGCUUAACCAUUAAACUGCUUGAGAAACUGAUAAUCUAGAGUGAGGGAGAGGCAGAUGGAAUUGGUGGUGUAGGGGUAAAAUCCGUAGAGAUCACCAAGAAUACCCAUUGCGAAGGCGAUCUGCUAGAACUCAACUGACGCUAAUGCGUGAAAGCGUGGGGAGCAAACAGG
rnacentral:rRNA from 1 species